AAAAAAAAAAAAAAAUUGUUUUCUUUAUUUUGCAUUUUAUGUUAGCUUAUGAUUCAAGAGAGAAGGAGCUUAGGAUGGGGUCUGUGGAGUACAUUAUCUCACCUCUCCUCUUCUUUUUUUUCUCCCUUUCCUUGGGAAGAUAAAAGGCAUCAACUUUUAAGGGAUGAUAAAAGAAAUUUAAACAAUGUCCAUUAUGAAAACAUUUAACUGGAGAUGAAACUGAACCUGUUCAUUUCAACUGCAUCUCUGAUUUUCAAGGAAAUAAUGUGUGAUUCAGUUUUUACCAUUAACUUUGAAAUUCAUUAUAAAUCCUUGUCAUUAGUGUUUCCCAAAAUCAUGAAUUAUAUGAUGUAUUUGAUUCCAUCUCCUUGAAUAUUUGCUAAGAAUGAAGUAUGCUAACACCUCAGUACAUAAUCUUUACUGCAAUUAUUUAUUUAAUUUUUUUUUUAGGAGUUGUG
rnacentral:misc_RNA from 1 species